UACGAAGGGUGCAAGCGUUAAUCGGAAUUACUGGGCGUAAAGGGUGCGUAGGCGGUUCGUUAAGUCUGUCGUGAAAUCCCCGGGCUCAACCUGGGAAUGGCGAUGGAUACUGGCGAGCUAGAGUGUGUCAGAGGAUGGUGGAAUUCCCGGUGUAGCGGUGAAAUGCGUAGAGAUCGGGAGGAACAUCAGUGGCGAAGGCGGCGCUCUGGGCCGGUACUGACGCUGAGGAGCGAAAGCGUGGGGAGCAAACAGG
rnacentral:rRNA from 1 species